AGGCUCCACUGGGCCUUGUUCUGGCCAGCCAAGCCAUGCCCUGGUCAGGUGGCACAGCUUCUCCCCCAGCCUCUUACUUCUGCACACCCUUAUUUCUUGGUGCUGUGCCCAUAGGUGUGGCAUUGCUGGCUGGGGUGAGGGACUAGCACAGGAGACCGGGCUGCUGGAGGGAGGACCUUUUGGUGUCUGCGCCAUUUGCUGUCACUCAGACAGUAGGUCUACUUGGGGUCUCUGUCCUAUCUUUAAUGAAAAAAGCUAAGUAGUGAGAUGGCUCAGACUCUGGAGUUUGGAUCCUUUAUUUAUCAGCUGUGUCACCUUGGAGAUCACUUAGUGUUUCCGAGUCUUCAUUUCCUCAUGUAUAAAUGAGGAAAAUGACAUUACCACCUUCAUGGGGCUCUCAGGAAAAGCCAAAUGAGGUAACAAUUGUAAAGAGCCUGAUCCACAUGCUAACAUACACAGUGACUGUGCGCUGUGUGUGUUGUCAUUCUUUCCCCACCAUCAGCAGGAGGGAAGAGCUCCAGGGACCCUCCUGUUCGCUCCUUCUUGUGGCACCUCUCACCUGGAGUAAUGUGGAGGGGACCCACAUUAGAAUCCCCCUUCCCUGCCCCUAUAAUAAAGUUCAAGCCCUACUGUCUUUUGAGGUGUGUCUGGGAAGGGUGCUCACCCAACUUCCAGCCUUCCUUCAACUCCACCUGGACAUUGGAGCCAGAGUUGUACAGCACAGUGAGUCUUAGGGGUGAUUUGGUUGCAAGGAGAAACUGCCUGCUCAAACCAGCUAAAGAAAAGUUUAUUGCUAGGGUGCUGGGAUGUCUCUGUACCUACUUUUUCUCUAGGGCAGCUGGUGUCUUCUCUUACUUGCCUCUAUGGACUGGUUUUCUGCCUCAGCUCGCACACAAGGCAGAAGGAGGCCACCCCAGUCCAAUUCAAAAACACUCCUCAGCUUGCAUGUCCAGCGUCAGUUAACAAGCUCCUCUGUGCCCUAAUUACAAAUUCCCCCAAAGAAAAGCAGAUUGACCCCCCAUAGGUCAGAUGUCCACCAUGGUCCCUGCAGUGGGGAGUCUGGGCUGUGGGUGGGUGGGCAUGUUUCAUCUCACUGAUGGGGCAAACAGGUCACAAAAAGGGCACCUGGACAAGCCAGUCACACCCACAGGUGGCAUAAUUUUCGGGCCUUCUGGCAGGAGGGAAAGCCCUCUCCUCCCAUAGCCUACUCUGCCAGGCAUAUGCAGCCUGAGGCUGUUAGGCCUUCUGGAAUUUACCAGAAUAGACAGACUUCCACAUCACAGGCCAUGCGUGCCUCAUAAAAUCCCCACGUGGUUCCAGAUCUCUGGAUUACACAAACCGAUGUUUCCUGAACAGGAAGAGUAGUCAUAUGUAGGUGAUAGGGGAGAUGAUUUUAGGUGUAUAGUGACACAAUAUUUUAUACUGAUAAUUAUAUGCUUUAUUUGGAAAACUUAACAACUAAGGAUCAAACCUACAAUUUCACAAUCAUUACACAGAAAAUGUCAUUAUAGAUGUAAGUAAUAAUGAGUUUCUUAUAAAAAUUUAUGUAGUAUGGACUUGAGUUUUUUUUUUUUUUUUUUUUUUUUAAGUGAAGGUGGGAUGAUUGAAUGAUGAAAGUUGAGAAGCCCUGACUGGUGUUGCAUACACCAGAGAUUCUUACCUGUGAACCCAUGGGAAGACUUCAGGAGGCCUGUGAAGCCCUUGAAGUUGUAGACAAAGUUUCGGAUUUACUUACCUUUCCGCCAUCGUUUGUGGAGGAGGGAGAGUGAGUCAUUGGUUGGUUUAGAAAUUUAGUGUUGGAACUUUCUGAGGGUUAUUUAUUAAAGAUUCCAGUUUCCUUCCCCAGAGAUUUUGAUGUAGCCGUGGAAAUGGAACCCACAAAUGUGCAUUUCACGUGCAUUUAGAUGACGAGUGCAGGUGGUUCUCAGACCUCACAUUGAGGAACACUGCUUAUCAAGAGAUUCAGGAGACCCCAACGUUGAGAAUUCAAUUCUGACCCAUCCCAACUUCCUUAGGAUUGUUGUGCAGUGGUUAAAACCUUCUUGUCAAGAAUUUUUGAGAUCUUUGGACAAAAGGUUUCUAGAUAAAUUUAUAUCACAAAUUAUUAAGGGUUUCUUAGUAAGGUCGCUGUCUUUUCUCUGAUCAGUCAUUUUGUUGUUUGGUUUGAUCUUUUUAGUCCAAGAUGCUUAAAAAAAA